UAGAGAGUGGAGAAGAAAAAAAAUGGUGAAAUAGGAAAAGGAAAAGAAAAAGAACGAAAAUUCCCAGCAAAUAAAUCCCAUUUGUACGCUUCCUGAAACACUUCGCAUUUUAAAGAUCCCUGAAUUGAUCUGAAUCCAAUAAUUAAAGGUAAGCUUUCUGAGAACUCAAUUCCGAUCUCACUCUCUCGAAUCGCUACACUCCAUUGCUGUUCUUCUUUGCAUCUUCGCCUCCUAUCACAAACCCCACUAAAACCCUUCAACAAUUUUGCCCGAAUCUACUUGGUUCUUUAUGUAAUCCCUGGUUUGCACUGAAUCGUGUUGAAUUAUAUUUUCAGUUUGAUUUUGGGUUGUGGGUUUGAGAUUUUAAGCGCCAUGGAUGAUUUGGAGAAAGCAAUUCUUAUUAUGUUUGAUGAAACGAGCAAUGCGGGUUCGAAUUUAAAAUUUAAGGCUAAUGAGUAUUGUGAUAAAGCAAAAGAGGAAUCGGCAAUAUGCAGUGUGUGUGUCGAGAAGCUGUGUUUUUCGAACCUUGUUCAGGUUCAGUUUUGGUGCUUGCAAACACUUCACGAGAUUAUUCGGGUUCGUUAUUCGUGGAUGAGUUUAGAUGAGAAGUACUUUGUUAGGAAGUCAGUGUUUUCCAUUGUGUGUUUGGAGUGUAGUUAUGAGAAUCAAGCACUUAGAAUUUUACAGGGUCCUGCUUUCAUAAAGAACAAGCUUGCUCAAGUUUUGGUAACACUAAUUUACCUUGAUUAUCCAUUAGAUUGGCCUUCGAUUUUUGUUGAUUUCUUAUCUCAUUUGAGAAAAGGACCGGUGGUGAUUGAUAUGUUCUGUCGGGUUCUGAAUACAUUGGAUGAUGAGUUGAUUAGCAUGGAUUACCCUCGAACGUCUGAGGAAAUCACGAUUGCAGGGCGGAUAAAGGAUGCUAUGAGACAGCAGUGUGUAUCUGCAAUAGUUCGAUCGUGGUAUGACAUUUUGUCCAUGUAUAAGAAUUCUGAUCAAGAACUGUGUGCAAGUGUGUUGAAUGUUAUGAGAAGAUACAUAUCCUGGAUUGACAUUGGGUUAAUUGUAAAUGAUGUGAUUUUGCCAUUGUUAUUCGAGUUAACUUUAGUUGAUGGUUUGCUGGAGCAAUUUCGUGGAGCUGCGGCAGGGUGUUUGCUUGCAGUUGUUUCGAAGCGGAUGGAUCAUCAGGCAAAACUAACCCUGUUGCAGAGUCUACAAAUAAGCCGGGUUUUUGGUCUGGUUGCUGCUGAAGAUAGUGAUUCUGAGUUGGUCUCAAAGGUAGCUAGCUUACUUACAGGCUAUGCUGUGGAGGCUUUGGAGUGUUUUAAACGGUUGAGUUCAGAAGAUUCUAAGAGCAAUUCUUUGGAGCUUCUAAAUGAAGUUUUGCCAUCUGUUUUCUAUGUAUUGCAAAAAUGUGAGCUGGACUCGGCUUUUAGCAUUGUGCAAUUCCUUUCUGGUUAUGUUGCUACUAUGAAAAACCUUUCUCCACUGGCGGAGAAGCAGCUUCUUCACUUGAGUAAAAUAUUAGAAGUGAUCUAUGCACAAAUAUGUUACGAUCCUGUAUACCGGCACAAUCUUGAUAUCUUUGAUAAGAUCGGAAGAGAAGAAGAAGAUAGAAUGGUGGAGUUUAGGAAGGAUUUCUUGGUACUUCUGCGUAGCGUAGGCCGUGUAGCACCUGAUGUAACUCAAUUAUUUAUUAGAAGUUCAAUGAUGAGUGCUGCUGCAGCUUCUUCAGAUCGGAAUGUUGAAGAGGUAGAAGCAUCACUCACACUUUUUUUCGCAUAUGGGGAGUCAAUUAACGAUGACGUAUUGAGAAAUGGAAGCGGACUUGUUGGGGAAAUGGUGACAAUGCUUUUAUCCACUCGGUUUUCUUGCCAUUCUAACAGGCUAGUUGCACUUAUAUAUUUGGAAACAAUUUUCCGAUAUAUAAAGGUAGUGCAGGAGAAUUCUCGGUUUAUUAGUGUUGUUUUGGCUGCCUUUCUUGAUGAACGAGGCAUACACCAUCCAAACAUCAAUGUUAGUAGAAGGGCGAGUUAUCUAUUCAUGAGGGUCGUGAAACUUCUAAAAGUGAAGCUUGUGCCUUACAUUGAGACAAUUUUAACGAGCCUACAGGAUACUGUUGCACGAUUUACAAGCUCAAAUUUUGCAUCAAAUGAACUUUCGGCGUCUGAAGAUGGCAGCCAUAUAUUUGAGGCAAUCGGUUUACUGAUUGGUAUGGAAGAUGUGCCACUGGAAAAGCAAUCUGAUUAUUUGUCAUCUUUGCUCAAGCCUCUUUGUCGACAGGUUGAAGUGGUGCUAAUGAAUGCUAAGGCUCUAACUCCAGAGGAGGCUACAGCAAAGAUUUCUACCAUUCAGCAAAUAAUCAUGGCCAUUAAUGCCCUCAGCAAGGGGUUCAAUGAGCGUCUUGUCACAACAAGUCGUCCUGCAAUUGGUCUGAUGUUCAAACAGACAUUGGAUGUUCUUCUUCAAGUCCUCGUUGCAUUCCCGAAAAUAGAGCCUCUACGGACUAAGGUUCUAUCUUUUAUACAUCGAAUGGUGGACACGUUGGGGUCAUCAGUAUUUCCCUAUCUUCCAAAGGCAUUGGAGCAGUUGCUUGCAGAAAGCGAGCCGAAGGAGUUGAUCGGUUUCCUUGUGUUACUUAAUCAAUUAAUCUGCAAAUUCAGCACUUUGGUCCAUGGCAUUUUGGAGGAUGUAUUUCCUAUAAUUGCUGGUCGGAUAUUCAACAUAAUCCCAAGAGAUUCACUUCCUUCAGGACCUGGAACCAAUAUCGAGGAAAUCCGCGAACUACAAGAACUUCAGCGAAUAGUCUAUACAUUUCUUCAUGUGAUAGCCACACACGAUCUCUCUUCCGUGUUUCUAGCUCUUAAAAGUAGAAGCUACCUGGAACCAAUGAUGCAGUUGCUUUUAAAUACAUCGUGCAAUCAUAAAGAUAUUCUUGUUAGAAAGGCAUGUGUACAGAUAUUCAUUAGAUUAAUUAAGGACUGGUGCGACCGUCCUGGAGAAGAGAAGGUGCCUGGCUUCCAAAGUUUUAUAAUCGAGGGCUUUGCUACAAACUGUUGCUUGUACAGCGUGCUCGACAAAUCGUUUGAAUUACAUGAUGCAAAUACUCUGAUUUUGCUUGGAGAAAUUGUAAUGGCCCAGAAGGUUAUGUAUGAGAAGUUCGGGCAGGAUUUUCUUGUCCAGUUUGUAUCAAAGGGGUUUUUAACUGCACAUUGCCCUCAAGAUUUGGCUGAGCAGUAUUGUCAAAAGUUACAGGGUAAUGACAUCAAGGCAUUAAAAUCAUUCUACCAGUCGCUUAUAGAAAGUUUAAGAGUUCAACAGAACGGAAGUCUCGUUUUCAGAUAGCGUUGCCACUAGGACGAAAGAUGUUAAUAACAGUUCCUGAUAACUCCGCUUUGUGGUGUUUGUUCUGAAAUAUGAACUCCAAUUUUGUUCACCAAGGGAUAUAUACGCUGUAUAUACGUGUUUUUGGCGGGUGAUUCACGGAUGAGUUGUACAUUGCCUGAAAAGAUCUUCUCAGCUACAGAAGUCAAGUUUUGUCGAAUUGGAUCGACUCAUCUCGAAGAUCAUGGUAUCGUUUUUGUCUAUACCAUUUGCUCGGUUUUUUAUAAUCUUUUCGUCGUCGAUUAUUUCCGACUUGAUAAACCUCGAUUCUUGGUUGAUAAAAGCUUAUAUAUCAGUUCAGAUUUGUUAUAUUCGUCGAUUGUUUUUAUAUAUACGCGCACGUGAUAGAAAAACUCACAAACACA